UACGUAGGGAGCAAGCGUUGUUCGGAUUUACUGGGCGUAAAGGGUGCGUAGGCGGCGCGGUAAGUCGGGUGUGAAAUCUCGGAGCUUAACUCCGAAACUGCAUUCGAUACUGCGGUGCUUGAGGACUGGAGAGGAGACUGGAAUUCAUGGUGUAGCAGUGAAAUGCGUAGAGAUCAUGAGGAAGACCAGUGGCGAAGGCGGGUCUCUGGACAGUUCCUGACACUGAGACACGAAGGCCAGGGAGCAAACGGG
rnacentral:rRNA from 1 species